AAUUCAGUUAUGCUAUUUGGCAAUUACACGAUGGCCCGACAUGGCAGAAUGAAGGAGUGAUGUCAUGACCAGACAAGCAGCCAAACAUCUGGGAAAACAGUCAGAUGAGUGAAUCUAGAUCUUCAUUACUGAAUGCAUAACCUUCAUGUUGGUGUUCAGACUUAAAGCAGAAGGCAGGAGGCCUCACACUUGGAGAGGAGGAGCGUGGGAAGCCAGAAGAGCAGCGAGCACCGGGAGUGCAGACACACGGGAGCAGAGAGCACAAGGAGGACACGACACGGGAGUCUGGGGAAAGCACGGGGAUUUAUUGUUGUUUGGUUCCAUACACUGUAAAUAAAUGCACUGCUUAUACACAGAGCUCCGCGCCUGGGUCCUCCUUCCUCACUUCCCCACGGUUGGCCAUCGUCGACCGUGACAAAAACUCCAAGUACAAACAUACAACGACUCAGAAACUAGGAACUAAUAGCUAGGAACUAAAACUAGGAAAUAUUUAGGAAUUCAUGAGGGAAAUGAGGGAGACAUGGAAACACACAGCAAACAGGGACAACGAGCAAAGGGAGACUAAAGACUAAAUACACACACAGGAUAACGCGAGGAAGGGCAAAAGGUGGGAACACAGCUCUAAAUAAUUACUAAAAAGACAAAGGAAGCAAAACAGAGCACAACACACACAGGACGGGAUACUAUCAAAAAAAACAGGAAGUAACAAACACUGAGACUCAGACUACUGUAAGACACGCGGGUUUGACACAGGGGCCGGGAGAAACAAGCAUCGAGACAAAAGAUCAACAACGUAAGGAGAGAGUGACUAACGUGGAACACAGGGGAGGGCAUGAACCUCCCCUUUAGAUCAAACCUAAAGUCCAGAUAACAAACCAGCACUCGAAGAUACAAAUACUCAGCAGAGCAGAAAUACAACUACAAGAACCAAAAAAGACCAAAUACAUAAACACUGGGUCAGAGACCCAGGAGUGUGACGCACUCUCACAGGACUGCCUCCUCUCUAUUCAUCAUGUCCUCUUGUUAAGUUUUCAUUGCCUUCUUAGAUGUUCCGAUUUUUAGCUACUUCCUGUUUUAUUACAAAAAUUUGAAGUCGAUUUACAGUGGAUACGGAAAGUAUUCUACACUCUUUGUUAUAUUGCAGCCAUUUGCUAAAAUUAUUUAAGUUCAUUUUUUUCCUCAUUAUUGUACACACAGCACCCAUAUUGACAGAAAAACACAGAAUUGUUGACAUUUUUGCAGAUUUAUUAAUAGAUCAUAAAAAUAUAUCACAUGGUCCUAAGUAUUCAGACCCUUCGCUCAGUAUUUAGUAGAACCACCCUUUUGAUCUAAUACAGCCAUCAGUCUUUUUCACAGUCUUUUUUCACACCAGUUCUAUCAGGUUGGAUGGUAAACGUUGGUGAACAGGCAGGUCUCUCCAGAGAUGCUCAUUGGGUUUAAGUCAGGGCUCUGGCUGGGCCAUUCAACAACAGUCACGGAGUUGUUGUGAAGCCAGUCCUUCGUUAUUUUAGCUGUGUGCUUAGGGUCAUUGUCUUGGUGGAAGGCAAACCUUUGGCCCAGUCUGAGGUCCAGAGCACUCGGGAGAAGGUUUUCAUCCAGGAUGUCCCUGUACUUGGCCGCAUUCAUCUUUCCCUUGAUUGCAGCAGUGAUAGUUGACUUUCUACAACUUUCUCCCAUCUCCCGACUGCAUCUCUGGAGCUCAGCCACAGUGAUCUUUGGGUUCUUCUUUACCUCUCUUACCAAGGCUCUUCUCCCCCGAUAGCUCAGUUUGGCCGGACAGCCAGCUCUAGGAAGGGUUCUGGUCAUCCCACAUGUCUUCCAUUAAAGGAUUAUGGAGGCCACUGUGCUCUUAGGAAACUUAAGUGUAGCAGAAUGUUUUUUUGUAACCUUGGCCAGCUCUGUGCCUUGCCACGGUUCAGUCUCUGAGCUCUUCAAGCAGUUCCUUUGACCUCAUGAUUCUCAUUUGCUCUGACAUGCAUUGUGAGUUGUAAGGUCUUAUAUAGACAGCUGUGUGGCUUUCCUAAUCAAGUCCAAUCAGUAUAAUCAAACACAGCUGGAGUCAAAUGAAGGUGUAGAACCAUCUCAAGGAUGAUCAGAAGAAAUGGACAGCACCUGAGUGUAACA
ensembl:lncRNA